rnacentral:rRNA from 1 species
UACGUAGGGUGCAAGCGUUAAUCGGAAUUACUGGGCGUAAAGCGUGCGCAGGCGGUUCCGCAAGUCAGAUGUGAAAUCCCCGGGCUUAACCUGGGAACUGCAUUUGAAACUAUGGGGCUAGAGUGUGUCAGAGGGGGGUAGAAUUCCACGUGUAGCAGUGAAAUGCGUAGAGAUGUGGAGGAAUACCGAUGGCGAAGGCAGCCCCCUGGGAUGACACUGACGCUCAUGCACGAAAGCGUGGGGAGCAAACAGG